UAGUGAGCUAGUCAAAGUCUCGGAAGAUGCUCUUGGAAAGAUAAAGGAAAAUUUCUGCUUGAAACUCCAGAUCCAGUUGUAUAACUUAGCAACUAUGUACCUCAGGAAAUGGAAAUACAUGAAGGGUGCCUUGUUCCAAUCAAAGGAUGCCAAAAUCCUCAAUUUGCAAAAUCACUUCAGCACAUAUUACCAUGCAGUGAGGAUUCCAGCCCUAAAUUGUGAGGGAAUACCACUGUUCCAAAGGUGAAGUUAAAGCACCAAUUUCAGGAGAUCUAUUAAGAACGCUAAAAAUAAUCUAAUAAACAUUGAUGACUCUG